GUAUACACAGAUUGUGUAUUAUACUAUGGUUGAAUUUUAUCAUUUCGAUGUAAUUGCAAAAUUUAUCUUCGUUCUCUCCUCCUCUACUACUAUUACAUUUAAUCGCAUACAAAUGAGUCGUAACGAGAUAAUUCCAAGUACCUAUAAAGAUCCAUUUUUAUUUACACGAAUAAAGGACGUCUUUUUAACAUUUAAAUACGCGCUGAACUUACAAGAGGUUACGGAAUACACAACAUUAAUAUUAUAACUGUAGAG